rnacentral:rRNA from 1 species
AGCUCCAAUAGCGUAUAUUAAAGUUGUUGCAGUUAAAAAGCUCGUAGUUGGAUUUCUGGUAGGGGGCAAGAGCGGCAUGACGUGUCAGCUUGCGUCCCCUGCCAUCCUUCUGUUAACCCGGUAUGGCAUUCUUUUGCUGACCGGCGGCUCAGAUAUUUUACCUUGAGAAAAUUAGAGUGUUUCAGGCAGGCUUGGCCGGGAUACAUUAGCAUGGAAUAAUGGAAUAGGACUCCAGCCUCUUCUGUUGGUCUGAGGGGUUGAAGUAAUGAUUAAUAGGGAUAGUUGGGGGCAUUAGUACUUAACUGUCAGAGGUGAAAUUCUUGGAUUUGUUAAAGACUAACUUAUGCGAAAGCAUUUGCCAAGGAUGUUUUCA